CAGAACGAGGCGUCUGAUGGCCGUGCCUAAGGAGCUGCGUGGAUGUUUGUGGCAGGCGAAAUUGAAUGACGUUAUGCAAGAUUGAUUCACCACAUCUUGGCAGAUGAUUGACGAGAGAAGCAGAAGCAGAUGUUUCCAGCCAGCCAGCGUGCAUUUACGCGUUUUAUGGAACUGAGACCACCGCGGGAUAUGGUUAAAUUUGGGCUGCCAGGACCAGGGGACUCCUCAGUCUGGUCCUGUGGGCUGUGUACACGGCAAAGGCAUAGUGGCAGUCCCGCAACACCGGAACCAGCGCUGUCACUUCAUUGAUGGAGAUGUGAAGGUACUGGAGAUAAGGCAAAGUAAACGAAGAAGAUGCUGUCCUUCCUCCCAUCAGACUUGGUGGACUGUUCCAAAGCCACGGCCACGUCCACCCAGCGCUGCGGCUUCCAGUCUCUCCACCAACGUAGAGUGCCUUUACGCACCCAGAUGGACUGUUAAAGGAAUACAACACAAAUGCAUUGUACUAUAACGGUACACUGAUGAAGAAACAAAAAAAAAACAAAAAAAAAGAAAACUCGUCAUACGUUGCUUCU